GUCUAUGGCCAUGCAACCCCGAACAAGCCCGAUCUUGUCUGAUCUCAGAAGCUAAGCAGGGUCAGGCCUGGUUAGUACUUGGAUAGGAGACCACCUAGGAAGACCAGAUUCUGUAGGCA
rnacentral:rRNA from 1 species